GCGGAGGGAUCAUUAAAGAGUUCUAUAACUCCCAAACCCAUGUGAACAUACCUAACGUUGCCUCGGCAGGUCGCACCUACCUUGUAGCACCCUACCCUGUAGGGCCUACCCGGGAGGUGCGGGUAAGCCUGCCGGCGGCCCACCAAACUCUGUUUGAUAUUGAAUUCUGAACCUAUAACUAAAUAAGUUAAAACUUUCAACAACGGAUCUCUUGGUUCUGGCAUCGAUGAAGAACGCAGCGAAAUGCGAUAAGUAAUGUGAAUUGCAGAAUUCAGUGAAUCAUCGAAUCUUUGAACGCAUAUUGCGCCCAUUAGUAUUCUAGUGGGCAGGACCGUUCGAGCGUCAUUUCAACCCUUAAGCCUUCGUUGCUUAGUGUUGGGAGCCUACGGCAACGUAGCUCCUCAAAGUUAGUGGCGGAGUUAGUUCACACUCUAGACGUAGUAAUUUUUUAUCUCGCCUAUUAGUUGGACUAAUCCCCUGCCGUAAAACCCCCAAUUUAUCAAGGUUGACCUCGAAUCGGUUCAGACAAACUCGCUAAAUUGAAGCAUCUUAGUCAGCGAAGGAAAAGAAACCAACAGGGAUUGCCCUAGUAACGGCGAGUGAAGCGGCAACAGCUCAAAUUUGAAAUCUGGCCCUCGGGUCCGAGUUGUAAUUUGUAGAGGAUG
rnacentral:rRNA from 1 species